UACGGGGGGUGCGAGCGUUAAUCGGAAUAACUGGGCGUAAAGGGCACGCAGGCGGACUUUUAAGUGAGGUGUGAAAUCCCCGGGCUUAACCUGGGAAUUGCAUUUCAUACUGGGAGUCUAGAGUACUUUAGGGAGGGGUAGAAUUCCACGUGUAGCGGUGAAAUGCGUAGAGAUGUGGAGGAAUACCGAAGGCGAAGGCAGCCCCUUGGGAAUGUACUGACGCUGAGGCUCGAAAGCGUGGGGAGCAAACAGG
rnacentral:rRNA from 1 species